UUUCCGUAGGUGAACCUGCGGAAGGAUCAUUAUUGAAUUUAAUGUGGAGUUGGUUGUAGCUGGCCUGGCUGAUUUUUUAAAAAAAGAUUUCAGGCAUGUGCACACCUUCUCUUUCAUCCACACACCCCUGUGCACUUGUGAGACAGACUUUUGGGGGGGAACCUUUAUUGGGACCCCUCCUGUCUGUCUACUUAAUUCACACAAACUCAAUUUAUCUUGAAAUGAAUGUAAUUGAUGUAACGCAUCUAAUACUAAGUUUCAACAACGGAUCUCUUGGCUCUCGCAUCGAUGAAGAACGCAGC
rnacentral:misc_RNA from 1 species